rnacentral:misc_RNA from 1 species
UCCGGUUUGUCACCGGCAGUCUCCUUAGAGUUCCCGCCAUUACGCGCUGGCAACUAAGGACAAGGGUUGCGCUCGUUGCGGGACUUAACCCAACAUCUCACGACACGAGCUGACGACAGCCAUGCAGCACCUGUCUCACGGUUCCCGAAGGCACCCGCCCAUCUCUGGGCAGUUCCGUGGAUGUCAAGGCCAGGUAAGGUUCUGCGCGUUGCAUCGAAUUAAACCACAUACUCCACCGCUUGUGCGGGCCCCCGUCAAUUCCUUUGAGUUUCAGUCUUGCGACCGUACUCCCCAGGCGGCGAACUUAACGCGUUAGCUUCGACACUGAGAGCCUGAUUGCUCCCAACGUCCAGUUCGCAUCGUUUAGGGCGUGGACUAC